rnacentral:rRNA from 1 species
AACGAACGCUGGCGGCAGGCCUAACACAUGCAAGUCGAGCGAACCCUUCGGGCUUAGCGGCGGACGGGUGAGUAACGCGUGGGAACGUGCCCUUUGCUACGGAAUAGCCACGGGAAACUGGGAGUAAUACCGUAUGUCCCCUUCGGGGGAAAGAUUUAUCGGCAAAGGAUCGGCCCGCGUUGGAUUAGGUAGUUGGUGGGGUAAUGGCCUACCAAGCCGACCAUCCAUAGCUGGUUUGAGAGGAUGAUCAGCCACACUGGGACUGAGACACGGCCCAGACUCCUACGGGGGGCAGCAGUGGGGAAUCUUAGACAAUGGGGGAAACCCUGAUCUAGCCAUGCCGCGUGAUCGAUGAAGGCCUUAGGGCUGUAAAGAUCUUUCAGUGGGGAAGAUAAUGACUGUACCCACAGAAGAAGCCCCGGCUAACUCCGUGCCAGCCGCCGCAGUAACAC